rnacentral:rRNA from 1 species
GAUGAACGCUGGCGGCGUGCCUAAUACAUGCAAGUCGAGCGAACGGACGAGAAGCUUGCUUCUCUGAUGUUAGCGGCGGACGGGUGAGUAACACGUGGAUAACCUACCUAUAAGACUGGGAUAACUUCGGGAAACCGUAGCUAAUACCGGAUAAUAUUUUGAACCGCAUGGUUCAAAAGUGAAAGACGGUCUUGCUGUCACUUAUAGAUGGAUCCGCGCUGCAUUAGCUAGUUGGUAAGGUAACGGCUUACCAAGGCAACGAUGCAUAGCCGACCUGAGAGGGUGAUCGGCCACACUGGAACUGAGACACGGUCCAGACUCCUACGGGAGGCAGCAGUAGGGAAUCUUCCGCAAUGGGCGAAAGCCUGACGGAGCAACGACGCGUGGGUGAUGAAGGUCUUCGGAUCGUAAAACUCUGUUAUUAGGGAAGAACAUAUGUGUAAGUAACUGUGCACAUCUUGACGGUACCUAAUCAGAAAGCCACGGCUAACUACGUG